rnacentral:rRNA from 1 species
AGAGUUUGAUCAUGGCUCAGGAUGAACGCUGGCGGCGUGCUUAAUACAUGCAAGUCGAACGGGGAGGAGCAAUCCUUCUAGUGGCGAACGGGUGAGUAACGCGUUGGUGACCUGCCCCGAAGUGAGGGAUACCAGGCCGAAAGGCUUGCUAAUACCACAUGGGUAGUUGGGAGCUUAGAAACCUGACUGCAAAGGAGAAAUCCGCUUUGGGAGGGGCCUGCGACCCAUCAGCUAGUUGGUAAGGUAACGGCCUACCAAGGCGAUGACGGGUAGGGGACCUGAGAGGGUGGCCCCCCACAAUGGAACUGAAACACGGUCCAUACACCUACGGGUGGCAGCAGUAGGGAAUAUUGCUUAAUGGGCGCAAGCCUGAAGCAGCAACGCCGCGUGUGCGAUGAAGGUCUUCGGGUUGUAAAGCACUUUUGAUCGGGAAGAGGAAGGACGGUACCGGUCGAAUAAGCCUCGGCUAACUACGUGCCAGCAGCCGCGGUAAAACGUAGGAGGCGAGCGUUAUCCGGAUUUACUGGGUGUAAAGCGCGUGCAGGCGGUUGGCUAAGUUGGGUGUGAAAGCUCCUGGCUCAACUAGGAGAGGUCGCUCAAAACUGGCCGACUGGAGAGCAGUAGGGGAAGGUGGAAUUCCGGGUGUAGUGGUGAAAUGCGUAGAUAUCCGGAGGAACACCAGUGGCGAAGGCGGCCUUCUGGACUGCAUCUGACGCUCAGACGCGAAAGCUAGGGGAGCAAACGGGAUUAGAGACCCCGGUAGUCCUAGCUGUAAACUAUGUGAACUUGGCGCUGGGUGGGUAAAACCGUUCAGUGCCGAAGCAAACGCGAUAAGUUCACCACCUGAGGACUACGGCCGCAAGGUUAAAACUCAAAUGAAUUGACGG